AAGAGUACACCUACAGGGGGGUGUCAGGCACUGGAAAGACAACGGCUGGGUAAAUUUUCAGCUACGUCGUUCAUCACAGAAGGGUUGGUUAUUAGGGUUUUGACUCUUUGUUUAUAUGUAGUGAGUUUUUAAGAAAAACAGGGGUCCAGAGGUCUGCAGGGUAGCUCUGAGGCAGUCAGGCCAGUAAUAUUGUUCCCCCCUAAAGAAACAUCAAGCAGAUCCUUUGGUUGAGACCAUUUCAGGUUGGAUGUUAGGAAAAAUUUCUUCUCAGAAGGAGUGGUGAGGCAUUGGAACAGGCUGCCCAGAGAGGUGGUGGCACCACCGUCUCUGGAGGCAUUCAAGAAAUGUGGAGAUGUGGCACUAAGGGACAUGGUUGUGACAGUGGUGAUGGGUUGAUGGUUCCAGUAGAUGAUCUUAGUGAUCUUUUCCAACCUGAGUGAUUCAAGGAAUCAACUGCUGCAGUGUUUAUUUAUCUCUGCAGCCUACAAAAGGAGACCAUAUAACCAGCUCUGACAGAAACCCGUGUGUUGCAGAUGCACUUGGUCAGCUGCAUCCCACGCUCUGUGCAAAGUCCCAGACAGGACAGGAAAACACUCUGUUCCAAAAGGAGCACAAAUUACCUCCCUUGCUACACCUGUCCGCCAAACACUCCCUUUCAUUUUGUAAGACAAGCAGUUUUCUCCUAAUUAAAAGAAACCAAAGCACUCCUGAAAGAAAAUAAACUCCCAAUUCCCUUGGUGAUGCAGGAGAACAUACUUCUUUCUGCAAGGUCAUUUUUAAAUUAUUGUGUCACAGUGGUAUAUUAUUCACAAUACUGAUUCUGCCAAUAGUGGUCACCAGCAAUACUGGUGUGAUGCAGCAGAAGCCCUGUUCCCUACAGCCAUGUGUGUGGUUGGCCUGCUAAGGCUGGAGAGAGACUUGGAAGUGAAGGCCUACAAACUUGUCAUGAAGAGAGAGAAAACACUGUCAUAGGUUUCAUCCAGGAAAGUAUUUUGACAGCUUCCCUCCACUCUCCAUUGCUCCACAUCAAGUGAAAUCUGGAGUUUGGUACCAGAGUAACUGCAGCCUAACAGCACUUUAUUUAUCACCUCAAAUUACUGAGUUCCCAGGGCAGCAGCAACUCCUCUGCACACCAAGGUUUUCUGCUUGAAAGGCUGACACCUUCGAAGCCACUCUAGGCCUGGUAGACCUCAAACUAUGAUCUCACAGGGCGUUACUUUGCACCUGGACUGAUCCAUUCCCUCACCCAAGCAUCUUUCACCAGUCCAGGGUCAUCUUGGCUGGAUUUAACCUCUGCUUUCAUAGACUGCAGGUCGCAAGUCUUCAUCCCAUGGUUAUACAGUAGACAACUCAGAUCAACAUUGUCACUGAAACCAAUCUUUCCAAAGCAGUGGCGAUACCAGCACUGCAAGUAGAAGGGCCAAGUGUGGCUGCUUCAAGCAUGAAUUCACUACUGCUGUUUAAAAAAGAAACUCCCCAAUUACCCAAGUGACUCAGCUUCUGUGGAGAGACUGCUGCUUGUCCGUCACGUGCCAGCACACCACACAUCCACGCUUACUGCAAGAACUGGACUCCUGAUCUAUAAUCUUCUAUGGACUGCAUGGCUUUGAAGAAAUCACAAUUAAAAAAAAAACUGAAAAAAAAUGAGAUUUUAAACUCAUGCUUCCUUUUCAAACGAGUUCUUCUUGUAAGACUUAAAUUCAAACACAAAAGCUGAGAUUUGAAACGUGUACAUACAUUUUCAAUCCAGUUCACAUGAUCAUUAGCAGCAUUAAAUCAAGAAAGAAUCCGCUUUGAAACACAGUCACCUGGUACCAUGAAAAUGUGCUGGCAUUUCUGAUGUUCUGAGAGGGGCUGGCACCCCAAGCCAGGAGACAGCAGAGCUUUUCAAGUUCUGCUCAUUAUUUGCUUUGCAGUGACACAGGAAACAGUGAAGGCUUUAAUCUGUAAAUAAUCUUUCCCUUGCAGAUCUGGAAAAGAUCUAUAGGAAAAAAUUGCAUUUUUUUCCCCUGUGAAAUGCUUCAUUAAAGUACUGCUCGCUCAAUAACAAGGAGAAAAAAAAAUAAAUAUUUUUAUACCGAGCCAAAACUCCUGCACCUCUUUCUUCUUAUGCUACAAACAGCUUGCUUGAGUUGCAGGAGAUUGGGCUUUGCAUAAGAAUGCUUCACAGAAGAGGGGGAAAAACAAUUCCUAAACACUAGGGAGAAAUUAAGAGGAAAAAUGUGCAAGAUAAAAUAGCCAGAUGAGCAGCUAAGUGCUCCGACGCCUUGAUCUCGCACAUCAAAUAGAAUACAUCUGCUUCCUUUCUCCUACAAGUGCCCUCCCCAUCAGGGCACAGACAUCCAACUUCAGACUGAAGCCUUCUUAAGGAUUUUUUACUUUCCUAUCUCUCCCUCGGCUUGCUCCUUCCUACACCACCUAACAGAUCGGGUACAGGGCAGCCCUUCAGAUUUGAGUCUUAAUGCUGUACAUCAGUAUGAUUGAUUGGACCUCAGCAAAAUGACUGUGUAAUGAUAAUUUCAGAGAGAGGGAGGAUUAAUUUGGGUGUGAUGCUGCAAAUCAAUCUCCAUUUUAGAGUAAUUAACUCCAGCCGCUUCAAGAGCGGCAACACAGCCAGCACUGCUGCAGGUACCCACUAAGAGCAGAAGAACCCAAGAGGUGCCCACACGUCCUACAUCUCUCACAUGGACAUCACUCGAGCCCAGAAAAAGCUGGAGAAAUAGCAAAGAGAGGAUCGCAGAUGCACUUGGUCUCUGGGUGACGAGACAUGUCCCUCUAAGUCAGUGACAAUGUCACUCUGGUAAGGCACUGGAACAGGCUGCCCAAGGAAGCGGUGGAGUCACCGUCCCUGGAGGUGUUCAGGAAAUGUGUAGAUGUGGCACUGAAGGACACUGCUUAGUGGGCAUGGUGGGGAUGGGUCGACAGUUGGACUAGAUGAACUUAGAGGUCUUUCCAACCUUAAUGAUUCUACAAACAAUCCAAAGCUCUAAUAAUUUCUUUUUGGCUCUGUAACUACUUCCAUGAUGAGAAGUGCUAAAGGUUUUUAAAUGUAGAAUCCCUGUAUUUCCACACAUGUAACCCACAAUAGUAACUACUCAGGUGCCCUGCAGCAGUGCAAGCUAUGGGCUCUGUAACUAAAAUCAGAGUGAAAUCCUGGCCAUAGCAACAUGGUAAAGCUACAGACUGAAGCAGCAACUCAAUAGUCUGAUUUGUAUGGCUGGCUUUAUUAAGGAUAUUGGAAGAUACAUUGAUGAUCCCAACUUAAUAGUUUAGAGCAGCAAAUCAAUAGUUUGGGCCAAAUUAUGUUCCUAUUUUAGUUCAUUUAGAUCUAUGAAAAUGAACUGAAUUACUUAAGAUCUUCAUAUAUACAUAAUAAAGCUGGUUCCCUUUUGGCACCGUGGUCUGCGGGUACUCAUUACAGAAGCCAAACCACAGGCUCACUCCAGAUGGCUUGUCUCUACAACACAGCAUGCAUCCAAGGCACUUUACAAACUAAUCACCUACUGAUCAUAUCCUUUCAAUUAAAAAUUACUCAAUAUUUCCAAGUGCUGUCAUCCAUUUUAGAAAUACCAGAAAAUUAUGAGGUGCUUCACCAAUAAAAUGCAGCUUUUUCUACGUUAUAAAAUUGUCAGCUAAACAACAUUAACCAGUUGGGUAAAGUGGCAGAGUUCAUAUGUGGCACAUGCUGCAUUUGCAAGUUGCUCCACCCCUACAUCUGCUGUAAUGCCAGCCUUAGAAGGACCAUCUGAGAGCAGAGACAAAUUGGGAAAAAGUGUGUCUUACUCUACAGAGGAGAUACAGAUGAAGAGAAUCACAGAAUGGCUUGAGAAGGAAAGGAUCUUAAAGCCCAUCCAGUUCCAACCCCCUGCCAUGGGC